rnacentral:rRNA from 1 species
UGGGGGAGUAUUGCACAAUGGGGGGAACCCGUGAUGCAGCGACGCCGCGUGGGUGAAGAAGCGCCUCGGCGCGUAAAGCCCUGUCAGCAGGGAAGAAAAUGACGGUACCUGAAGAAGAAGCCCGGCUAACUACGUGCC